rnacentral:rRNA from 1 species
AUUGAACGCUGGCGGCAGGCCUAACACAUGCAAGUCGAGCGGAUGAAGAGAGCUUGCUCUCUGAUUUAGCGGCGGACGGGUGAGUAAUGCCUGGGAAAUUGCCCAGUCGAGGGGGAUAACAGUUGGAAACGACUGCUAAUACCGCAUACGCCCUACGGGGGAAAGCAGGGGACCUUCGGGCCUUGCGCGAUUGGAUAUGCCCAGGUGGGAUUAGCUAGUUGGUGAGGUAAUGGCUCACCAAGGCGACGAUCCCUAGCUGGUCUGAGAGGAUGAUCAGCCACACUGGAACUGAGACACGGUCCAGACUCCUACGGGAGGCAGCAGUGGGGAAUAUUGCGCAAUGGGCGAAAGCCUGACGCAGCGACGCCGCGUGGGUGAUGAAGGCCUUCGGGUCGUAAAACCCUGUCGGGUGGAACGAAUCUCCGCCUUGCUAAUACCGAGGCGGAUUGACGGUACCACCGAAGGAAGCCCCGGCUAACUACGUGCCAGCAGCCGCCGUAACAC